CUAUGUUAUGGAUAUAACAUGGCGGAAGGAG
ncrna:unclassified sequences L31-Firmicutes ribosomal protein leader